rnacentral:rRNA from 1 species
AUGGGGUCUUCGAGGGUCGACGGUAGUGGUACUCGGUCGUUUCGAAGAGAUACUUGGGGUCUUCAAACUUGCCGGUCUCGUCAGUUGUUCUAUGCAUCGGGCGUCAAGGUACUUGUCGUUCUUAGCAAUUUCGAAGACGACGGUAGUGGUACACGUUACGUAGAUGUUCAGGUUGUCGGUAGAGGGGGAAAACAGCGGCAGCAGCAGGCAUCGCAGUCAACGGGCGCGGUCGCCUGCGGACGACGGGGAUGGCCGGAGAUGCAGCAGCAGAAGCAAAACAGCAGCAGCAGCAAAGAAGCCGGCGGCGACUGGAGCAGAUCGGGCGCGGGGAAGGGGCGGCGCCAUGGACGGACUCCUCGGGUGGCUGAAGGCACCAGCGAGCACGGGGCGAUGCACGGAGCAGCAACAGGUCCAGGAACUUGA